rnacentral:lncRNA from 1 species
GAUCAACCCAGCCUCUGGCCCUGGAGGGACAAUCACAGCAGUAGUGUGAGGAAUUCCUUUUGGCAUGACAGAGGUCUGUAUUUGUCUGAUCAAAGGCAUUAUGGUAGGGUCAGCUAGAGAAGAGUACUCAGGGUCACUGGUAUGUGCAGCCCCAGUUAUGAUCCUUGGAGCAGCCAGGGCUGUUGCCACAAGAGAAAAGGCAAGGGCUGGUGAUUUAAUGUUGGCAUCUCUGCAGGUGUCAUUCAGAAUCAGAAGCUCAUAACUGCUGUCUUUAGUUUUACUUUGCUUUAUUCUGAGCAUCUUCUACAGUGAUUAGUACAUCUGAAUCUUCAUGUAUAUGCCCCCGAUUCAGAUUGUUCUGUUUGCUCCUCCUUCGCUUUAUCUCUUUCUGAGCCUUUGCCUCAGGCCAUUGUUUUACAUCCAUUUUCUGUCUCAAGCUCUUUAGCUGUAAAUCCUCUGGGGCCAAAGUUCCUACCAAGAAAAUUAAAGUCUAGAUAUUUAAAUUUUUUGAAUUUUUUUUACACAAAUAGAGCACAGCUUUUCAUUUCUCUGGUUGCACAUGAUGCAGAGUCACUCCAUUUGUUAAAUCAUACCAUACAAAGGGUAGUAAUGUCUUUCUCAUUCCACCAUCUCACCCCCACACACCCUCCCCUUAACCUGCUCUCCUCUGCUCAAUCCAAAAUUUCUCAUUCUUUCCUUGACUCUCCCCCAGAAUAUUAUGGACCUGAUCCAUUUAUCAGAGAAUAUAUUUGGAACUUGUUUUGUUCCAUGAUAGUCUCCAACUCUGUCCAUUUACCUGCCAAUUUUAUAAUUUCAUUCUUCUUUAAGGCUCAGUAAUAUUCCACUCUGCAUAUGUACCAGUUUGUUUAUACAUUCAACUGUUGAAGGGCAACUAGGUUGUUUCCAUGGAUUACCUGCUGUGAAUUCAGCUGCUAUGAUCACUGAUGUCACUGCAUUACUAUGGUGUGCUGGUUUUAAGUCUUUUGCAUAUACACUUAGGAGUGGGAAAGCUGGGUCAAAUGGUGGUUCCCUCAAAGUUUUCUAAGGAAUCUCCAAUCUGCUUUCCAAAGUGGUCACACCAUUUUUUUAGUCACAAAAAUUUGAAUAUUCUUUUACAGACACAUUUAGUUUCUCUCAUAACUGAAUAAUAGUUCCCACUUGGAGGCUUGUACAUGAACUACAGUGAAAGUUGAGGAAUGUGCAUAUAGUGCACUAUAAGGAGAUAUAGUGACAUAUGCCACAGUGGUUCUGGUGGCUCAGCUGUAUGGACAACCUUAUCCCCUAGAUGUAUGCUAAUAGAGGAAUUGGUGAUAGGUGACAAAAUCUGCUGUUUAGGGCAAGCCCCACAGAAGAAUCCUAAUGUAGACCAUGGGAGUUUGGGAACAGUCA